rnacentral:lncRNA from 1 species
CCUCACUGAAAUCAAUCAUUUGUGGUUCCAGAAUUGACGCUCAUCUAGCUAAUAAAUGGCAGAGUUGAAAUGUGAACUCAGGUCUUUUGACUUCAAGGUUCAGGCUUUUAACCAGCUUAACAGCUUUGCUCUUUAGAAAACAACCUGUUAUGUAGAUGAUAUAUCUAUCAGAAGCUGAACCCAGGACCAAAUACACACAUAUACCCACAUCAUGAAACAAAAUAAACAAAAAAGCAGUUAGUUAAAACCUCUGCCUAAUUUACGGUUGCUCAAAAGGGAAAGAAAUGACUUUUCCCAAAGGGUUUCUCUCCUUUUCCCUGCAUUAGCUCAGUGGGACCCACACUCCAGGUACCCAGGCUUUUCUGGAAAACCCAGAUGUGUGCUUUGUUUCCAGGAUACCUGAGAUACAAGAAUGUUCUCCUGCCUACUUCACAAUCUCUGCUCUGACCUCCCAAACACUCCAAAGUCAGCAGGAGGAAGGAGAAAUGAGAGGGAGGCCUCUGUCUCCUAAUCUUUUCCAUAGGCUGCUGUUUUCUUUCUUUCCUCAUGAGGAAUAUCGAUAAAAACAAAAUAAACAAAUUAGCUACCACUUCUGAAAAUCCCCAGGAAAUUCCUUUUCCAGAGUUCUCACUUACUAAUUUGGCUAACAUUACCUCUGGUAACAGACCCCAUGUAUCUGCCACAAUUGCUGUGAGUUGCACAGGAAAAAGACUGGGAGGAAAUCUUCACUUUUCUUCUGCAACAGCAACCAACAGAAAUGAAAGAGCCAGGGGAUUUUGCAAAAUAUCAACUCCUGAAAACUAAGAACGAGAGCCUUUCUUGCCAAGACUAUUCUGUGCCAGUCAUCAUAAAAUACUUUGGGGUACCCUCCUUCUCCUGCCUUUGGACAUCAGAACUCCAGGUUCUCCAGUCUUUGGACUCCAGGACUUGCACAAACACCCACAGGUUCUCAGGCCUUCUGCCUUGGAAUGGGAGCUACACCACUGGCUUCCCUGGCUCUCCAGCUUGCAGAGGGCAUAUUGUGCCUUUUUCAAUUAUGAGUGAAUCACAAAUCAAACUGACUUAA